AUUGAACGCUGGCGGAAUGCUUUACACAUGCAAGUCGAACGGCAGCACGGGGCAACCUGGUGGCGAGUGGCGAACGGGUGAGUAAUACAUCGGAACGUGCCCAAUCGUGGGGGAUAACGUAGCGAAAGUUACGCUAAUACCGCAUACGAUCUACGGAUGAAAGCGGGGGAUCGCAAGACCUCGCGCGAAUGGAGCGGCCGAUGUCAGAUUAGGUAGUUGGUGGGGUAAAGGCUCACCAAGCCAACGAUCUGUAGCUGGUCUGAGAGGACGACCAGCCACACUGGAACUGAGACACGGUCCAGACUCCUACGGGAGGCGGCAGUGGGGAAUUUUGGACAAUGGGCGCAAGCCUGAUCCAGCCAUUCCGCGUGCAGGAUGAAGGCCUUCGGGUUGUAAACUGCUUUUGUACGGUAACGAAACGGACGAGCUCUAAUACAGUUUGCUAAUGACGGUACCGUAAGAAUAAG
rnacentral:rRNA from 1 species